UACGUAGGGUGCAAGCGUUAAUCGGAAUUACUGGGCGUAAAGCGUGCGCAGGCGGUUUUGUAAGUCUGUCGUGAAAUCCCCGGGCUCAACCUGGGAAUGGCAUUUGGGACUGCAAGGCUGGAGUGUGGCAGAGGAGACUGGAAUUCCUGGUGUAGCAGUGAAAUGCGUAGAUAUCAGGAGGAAUACCGAUGGCGAAGGCAGGUCUCUGGGCUGACACUGACGCUCAUGCACGAAAGCGUGGGGAGCAAACAGG
rnacentral:rRNA from 1 species